UACGUAGGGUGCAAGCGUUGUCCGGAAUUAUUGGGCGUAAAGAGCUCGUAGGCGGUCUGUCACGUCGGCUGUGAAAUCCCGAGGCUCAACCUCGGGUCUGCAGUCGAUACGGGCAAACUAGAGUAUUGCAGGGGAGACUGGAAUUCCUGGUGUAGCGGUGAAAUGCGCAGAUAUCAGGAGGAACACCGGUGGCGAAGGCGGGUCUCUGGGCAAUAACUGACGCUGAGGAGCGAAAGCAGUGGGGAGCGAACAGG
rnacentral:rRNA from 1 species